CUACGGGCCGCUGCAGUGGGGAAUAUUGCACAAUGGGCGCAAGCCUGAUGCAGCCAUGCCGCGUGUAUGAAGAAGGCCUUCGGGUUGUAAAGUACUUUCAGCGGGGAGGAAGGGAGUAAAGUUAAUACCUUUGCUCAUUGACGUUACCCGCAGAAGAAGCACCGGCUAACUCCGUGCCAGCAGCCGCGGUAAUACGGAGGGUGCAACCGUUAAUCGGAAUUACUGGGCGUAAAGCGCACGCAGGCGGUUUGUUAAGUCAGAUGGGAAAUCCCCGGGCUCAACCUGGGAACUGCAUCUGAUACUGGCAAGCUUGAGUCUCGUAGAGGGGGGUAGAAUUCCAGGUGUAGCGGUGAAAUGCGUAGAGAUCUGGAGGAAUACCGGUGGCGAAGGCGGCCCCCUGGACGAAGACUGACGCUCAGGUGCGAAAGCGUGGGGAGCAAACAGGAUUAGAUACCCUCGUAGUC
rnacentral:rRNA from 1 species